GAUGAACGCUGGCGGCGUGCCUAAUACAUGCAAGUCGAGCGAACGGACGAGAAGCUUGCUCCUCUGCUGUUAGCGGCGGACGGGUGAGUAACACGUGGAUAACCUACCUAUAAGACUGGGAUAACUUCGGGAAACCGGAGCUAAUACCGGAUAAUAUUUUGAACCGCAUGGUUCAAAAGUGAAAGACGGUCUUGCUGUCACUUAUAGAUGGAUCCGCGCUGCAUUAGCUAGUUGGUAAGGUAACGGCUUACCAAGGCAACGAUGCAUAGCCGACCUGAGAGGGUGAUCGGCCACACUGGAACUGAGACACGGUCCAGACUCCUACGGGAGGCAGCAGUAGGGAAUCUUCCGCAAUGGGCGAAAGCCUGACGGAGCAACGCCGCGUGAGUGAUGAAGGUCUUCGGAUCGUAAAGCUCUGUUAUUAGGGAAGAACAUAUGUGUAAGUAACUGUGCACAUCUUGACGGUACCUAAUCAGAAAGCCACGGCUAACUACGUG
rnacentral:rRNA from 1 species